UGCCGUCGCAGUUUGAUGCUGUGUUCCUUCACACAGUGAAACGCCUUGAGCCAUGAAGAGAGAGUGUACCGUUGCAAUACUGUUGGUGUGUGCGUUGGCGAUGGCCCAAACCUUUCAGGAUGGUGCCAGGCUGCGCAGAGAACAGGUGGCUGCAGAAGUCCCAGCUGAGGAAGUGAUCCUUGUGGAUGAUACAGAUCCAGUGCUGAACGCGCCCAUAGUGGCGCAGGACGUGGCUGCCAGCGAAGUCUCCCUCAGUGAGACAGCCGACCAGAGCAAGGGACGUAGAAUGCGUGCCGGCCGCCCCUUCAACAGGCCGCGUAGUGCCGGCUACAAGAGGUCACGCCGCGGUUGUGUACUUUCCCACUAAAACAUUCGGUGCUGUUCCUCAGUGUUACGGUGUAAAGUCAAGCGCCGGCGGGAACGAUAGAGAAUAGAUGGCUGUGAGAAGACGUCAGCCAAUCGCACGCUGACCGACCCCUCUCCAGGACGACAACGCGACAGCAGUGGCCCCUGUGUGAAGAGGACAUAAGUGCUGCGACCGACUGGUGGCAGCCCAGUUCAGAGGCAUCUUCAGGAUUAGCGACUUCGAUAGCAGCGUAGCUCUAGUCACCUCGCUUGUACUCUCUACGUAGCACAGACUUGGAAUUGUUUAAUCCUGAAGAAGCUUGCUUAUUUUGUAUGUCGCCCUUUGCUUGCGACACAUCUGUGUAAUUGUCAAAGUAUUGUCGUUUACUUUUUGUAAUAAAAUUCAAUAAUACGA